rnacentral:misc_RNA from 1 species
GUAUUAGUUGGGGAGAAGACAUUUCUUACAUUGCUGCUUUGGGUUGGUUCAUGCUACCCAGGUGGUGUCGUGGGAUUGAAGCUGAUGGCUUAAUAUACUUUAAUGUAUUCUUGUAUAAUAUUAGUUCACUAGGCCUAGACAUUAAAUUUCGAUGUCUCUUGAAAUCACUGAACCUUGAUUUCUCGUUUACCUAAAACCUCUUGUACCAAAGCCAGACCAAAUUCAGACAAAAAAAAAAUGUCCAAUAUUAUUGCCACUAUCAUUU